rnacentral:rRNA from 1 species
AUAUUAGUCAAUGCUCGCAAGAGUGAACUAGCUAACUGAAAUCACAGGAUCCAUUACGUGUGGUGAAUGUAAUAACGUAAGGGAAAAAAAUGAUAUUACCUUACUAUUAGUGUUGUCCAAAACUGGUGCCAGAAGACUCGGUAAGGCCAGAGACGCAAACGUUAGUCGUCUUAAUCAGGCGUAAAGGGUAUGUAGGCUGCUUUAAAAAUUUUAUAUUUAAUAGCUCUGUAUAAAUAAUUUUAUUUUUAUGUAUAAUAAAAAUUUUUCUAUCUUUAAACAGUAAAUAUAAAAUGAAUUAAAGCUAGAAUCAAAUUGAGGAUAAGUCAAAUAAUACUUAGUGUAGGGUUUAAAUCUGGUGAUACUAGGUGGAGUACUAAAGGUGAAAGCUUUUUAUCUAGAAAUGAUUGACGCUGAGAAACGAAGGUGAGAAAAGAAAAUAGGAUUAGAUACCCAGAUAUCUCUCACAGUCAACGAUGAAUGGUGGUUGUUAGUUUAAUAUGACUGAUAACGAUGUUAACACGAUAACCAUUCCGCCUUGCGAGUACGGUUGCAAAACUGAAACCAAAAAAAUUAGUCGGUCUCGAAGCAAACGAAGUGAAGCAUGUUAUUUAAUU